AGUGAACGCUGGCGGUAGGCCUAACACAUGCAAGUCGAACGGCAGCACAGUAAGAGCUUGCUCUUACGGGUGGCGAGUGGCGGACGGGUGAGGAAUACAUCGGAAUCUACUUUUUCGUGGGGGAUAACGUAGGGAAACUUACGCUAAUACCGCAUACGACCUACGGGUGAAAGCAGGGGAUCUUCGGACCUUGCGCGAUUGAAUGAGCCGAUGUCGGAUUAGCUAGUUAGCGGGGUAAAGGCCCACCAAGGCGACGAUCCGUAGCUGGUCUGAGAGGAUGAUCAGCCACACUGGAACUGAGACACGGUCCAGACUCCUACGGGAGGCAGCAGUGGGGAAUAUUGGACAAUGGGCGCAAGCCUGAUCCAGCCAUACCGCGUGGGUGAAGAAGGCCUUCGGGUUGUAAAGCCCUUUUGUUGGGAAAGAAAAGCAGCAGGUUAAGACCCCGCUGUUCUGACGGUACCCAAAGAAUAAGCACCGGCUAACUUCGG
rnacentral:rRNA from 1 species